ensembl:lncRNA
GGAAGUGACAGACAGUUCUUCUGUUGUGUCAGAUCCUGUUCAAUAUAAAUACUUGCAAUGUUAUUAAAGUGAGUUAACUGCUAAUAGCCAUAUUCACUUUGCUGCCCAGUGUGUGUGAGAGAAGCUGAACUAACUAAACACUCGACUGUCUCGACAGGUAGACAUAUCACAUUGAUUGCGUUUGAACAACUUCUUCACGAACAUCCUUGCAAUGCUGACUUGCACCACGAAUGCUGACUUGCAUCACGAAUGCUGUCUUCCCACAACGGCGACUGAUGAGCGGCUGGUUGCUGGUUGCAAGCAGUGGAAGACACACAGCGGAGUGGUUCAGUCAAUGGGAGCAGUGGUGUCUCUUUACCGGGGCCUUUGUGUGGAGAACAGGUUGGGUUGUAGCAUUGUGGCUCUAACCGGCAGAGCUGACAUAGAUCCAGUUAAUAACUAAAAGGGCCCCACUACACAGUGGGAUCCCUAUCUGCCUGCCACACUGACCUCUGAGAGGGGCUACCCAGGGGGCCUUGGUGUCCCUGUCCCCCAGUCACAAUGAGGGGCAUCCAGCAUCGCCCUCCACCCCCACCCCCCUCCCUCCAGACAGCCCACCUGCCCAGCUACCCCCCCCAUCCCCCAGAGUGGUGUCUGUGUGCGGCCAGGGCCGGCAUUCCACUCGAACACUGAUGCAGAGUGACCAAAGUGACCGUUUCACACAAGCUGCCCUCCAGUAGAGCUGUGCUGGAGCCAGACUCAGGCAGGCCUGAGAGAACCGGGGACAGGAGGGGACACAGGAUGGACAUCCUUAACUGGAAGGCGACACACUCUGGUCUGUUUGUCUAGAAGGCCAUUUUAAGGCAGAUGCCAACAUAUUUAAGUCAUGGACAUUACUGUCUGAGAUCACACAACUGUAUUUUAUAGAAUGUUCCCAACACAAGAACAGACUUUGUUACGAGUGCUUUUAGCUUGGCUGCCCUAUCAUAUCAGAACACUUUGCAGAAGGAUUUUAAGACUCGAUCAUUUUAUUUCUGAUUGAUGGUUUUAAAUCCCGGGUUGGAGGGCUGCUGUACACAGAUUGCA